rnacentral:tRNA from 1 species
GAUUGGGAAGCGAAAUCGCGUUUAGUUUCGGCCUAAAGAUUGGUUUUAUAAAACCCCCAAUCU